rnacentral:lncRNA from 1 species
UCUCUAGUACUGGUGGGAGGAGGUUAGGUGCGGGCUGUGAAAGACUAAAGAAUUGCCUUUGAUCCACAGGAAGGAGCCAUGUAAAGGUGGAAGAAGAUGAAGCUGUCUUCUGACUGCAGAAUGCACACACCGGCACACACACAGAGAAAGAUAACACAAUUCAAACAAAAUGCAGGGUGUGGAGAAGGCAACACUCCCUAUGCACACAAGCUGAUGCCCCGCACUCUGCUUCAGGCUACCAUGCAGAUUACAACGUUCUAAAGCACCAAGAAUGUACCCCUGUUAGGUGUCCUUGAGUCUGUGGCCUCCCUUGUGGCAGGCUCGCCGACAAAUGUCCCCACCUGUGGAGCCCAUCAUCCAGUGAGUGUCCAACCCACCCUGAACUUCCUGGCUCAUGUCCCAAGGUUUUGUUCUCCUCAUUUUGUUUUCUCUUGUUUGAGACAGAGUCUCCUAGAUCUUGGCUA